rnacentral:rRNA from 1 species
UACGUAGGUGGCAAGCGUUGUCCGGAUUUACUGGGCGUAAAGAGCGCGCAGGCGGUCGUUCAAGUCGCGUGUGAAAGCCCCCGGCUCAACUGGGGAGGGUCACGCGAUACUGAUCGACUCGAAGGCAGGAGAGGGUAGUGGAAUUCCCGGUGUAGAGGUGAAAUGCGUAGAUAUCGGGAGGAACACCAGUGGCGAAGGCGACUACCUGGCCUGUUCUUGACGCUGAGGCGCGAAAGCUAGGGGAGCAAACGGG